GGAUGAUGGAUGGAUGGAUGGAUGGAUGGAUGAUGGAUGGAUGGAUGGAUGGAUGGAUGGAUGGAUGGAUGGGGUGAGGUAUCCCCAGAAAGAAUGUACACCCCAGAGCUGGCACGCACCAAGCCGGGGUACGCAGAGCUGCUCCAAACCACGCCACAAUCAGCAGCCUCGUGGGCUGGAGCUGGAGAGUGGCCGACCCUCCUAGCCGGGAGCUAAUGAUUCCCUUCAGGAUUGCAUCAUUAGAUUCAAACUGAGUCAUUAUGAGGCAAUUUGGGAAAACAAGUUGGAAUUCAUUACCAAGGAAACGCUCUGGAGCUGUUGCAAGAGCCUCCUGUCGGGUGCCGGGUGGGUGCGCAGAGGCACCACCUCGCUCCCGGGACCAAGCACUGCUCUGCCCUCGUGGGAAGGCAGACCCAUUCCCAAUGUAGGCUGGUGGGAUUCUUCUCUUAUUCCACCCACAGCUGCUUCCUGAUCCGUUCUGCCACUGCUCUGCUUCUGACACCUGCCACAAGAAUAAACAAGCCCCAGGGCAGGGGGAGACAUUGAAAUUGUGAAAUUUGCACUCUUGCGUUCCCGGGUGCAACCUCAGGAGCAGCCUCAGCCUCUGGCAGCAGUUCCAGCAUCAUCUCCCCUGGUGUCCAGCUGCUGGCAGCCCCUUUGCUCCAGCUGGAUGGUUGGAUGUUUGCCUGCCCUGCUCACUGCCUGUUGCUUCUGGUGCUUCUCCAGGUGGACACAGCUUUGCACGGCUCUGCCAUCAGCAAAAGCAUUUUCAGCAGGUGUAGUGGAGGGGCUGGAAAGGGACUACAAGCAAACAGCCAAAUGAUUUGUGGCAGGUUCUUGGAAGCCAAACAAAACCACAUGCUGGUGUCAGUGUUUGGGCUGCAGCUUGUUCUAUGAAGCCACCACUGAACCAUGGGAGGAUUUCUACCUGCAAAGUGCUGGAUGAGGACAACAACAUCCUUGAUGAAGGCAGAGAAUGUGGUAUGAAGGAUGAGUAAAAGUUUGGGAGAGCAGUAAGAGAAAAGGAACUUGGGGAGCAAUCCAAGGCUUGAUUAUGGGUUGGCACUCAACACAGAUGAUCAUCAAUCAGCAGAGAUCAAUUACUCUGGAAGCUUAAGCACCUACCAGGAGCAACACUAACAUCAGCUUGAUGACUAAGGAAACAAGGACAUGGAUAGAGACCAGCAUGGAUGGAUACAGGCCCCUUACUUGCCUCUGCAGAAAGCUGUUAUCCUGAAGUUACUGCUGGGAGAGGCCAAGCUGUGGCCACUGAGGGUGAACUGGGGUUUUUGUUAAUAUGUUUAUAAAAAUGUGAGGCCUGAGCAUUUGCUGGGAAAGAGGAUACUGUUGUAUUUGAAAAUAAAAUAAGCAAAUGUUUGCCUAGUGAGGGAGAAAAAUUAUUUCAGAAAUAAUAUGGGAUAAUGGAGAAAUUCCUCAAAAAUCAAAUAUAGUGAGGACAGCAAAGCCCUGGUGAGGUGAGCAAACUUGUGGGUAGCAAAAACAACUGAGGACAGACCUGCUGAGCAUUUCCCAUCAGUCAUUUUCUAGGGAACUCCAUGCCACAGCUGCUUGAAGAGAUAGAUGAUGGAUGGCUGAUCCCUGGUAAAUCUCUGCCAGCACCAGGAAUGAGGAGGUUUAAAGGAACAGAGCAAGGUACAGAGUGAAGAGGAUUUCAAACACAGUGCUCAGGGCACCACAGCCCUCAUUACCAGUGCCCCACAUGGUGUUUACCGUAGGACUGGCAAGAGAAAAGGCUUUGAAUAUCCUCACACCUGCUUGUGAUGCCAGAGCCUCACAGCACAGGUGACAAACUCACCAGACUCAGGGGACUGGGGCGGGAGUCCACCCUCUGCACAGUGACUGCAGGCUUGGGACUGGCUCUACUGGGUGACCCUUCCAACUUAGAGCCACAAAAUCUGGUCAGUUUUGUAAAUUAGAGGUUGCACUUUAAAGAUUGGAUUUUUUUCAAACUCCUACCAAAAUGCAGCAGGUCCCUGUAGAGUCAGUUAUUUGCCUGAGGGAGAAACUAGGUCAAAACUUGGUAAAUUCGGAUAUAAAGGGUUUCCUAUGCUUCCUCAGCAAACAAUGUCUUACUGCACAUAACUGCAACUAACUGUGUGCCCUCAGCCUUGUUCUGUCCCAGGUGAUGCUUAAACUGUCAAUAAUCCUAAGGCUGCUGUCACAGUGCUGCUCAAUGGGGUUGACAGAUUAUAUCUCUAAAGUCCCUUUAUUGGACCUUGUUCCCAGAAAAGCUUGCAAAUUGCUCUGAUCUUACCAGACAAAGGCGUUGCUCACUCUCGGAGUCCUUGGAUAUCCUACACAAUAAGGUAGGAAUUGGUGAGAAUUACCUGAGAUAAAAUAUCCCUUACAACAUCAAAGUUCCUGAUCUCUUAGCUGUCAGCUGCAGGUAUGUGAAAGUCCUGACAGGCUGAAGAUAGAAGGAAGAGAUAAAGCAAAAGAAGAAGGGAGGGGGAAUGGAGAAAUUCUCUGCGUGAAACGUUAUAUCAUUGGAUUUGGCACAAAGAUGUCAGCUCAGGGGGUCUGUGCAGCCAGCUGGGGUGUGAGCAGGGCACUGGGCUUUCACCUUCUGAGAUGAAUCAACAGCAGCUGAUACCAGGACAGAUCCUGAUCCUUGGCACACCAGUGGAUAGGGAGAUGGACAUCAAUAGUCUUUGUGAGUCCCUUCUAACUCAGGAUAUUCUAUGAUAAAUUAAGCAGGAGUAACAGAGAUCGGGAUAAAUCAUGAUCAUGCAUCACUCACAUUUUCCCUAUCCCUGUACACUUAGCUUUUGGUUAUUUUUUGCCAGUGAAAUGGAUGAAGUAGGUCAGUUAGCAGGGGUAAUCACUGGUGUAACACAGGACAUCAUCCUUUUGCCAUCUUUGCCCUGCACAUUUUAUAAUAAUUGACUUCUCUGAGUUGUCACAGGAGCACGGCAGGAGAGCUGGGGUCAGACUCCACGUGAUGCUGCCCAACCUGCACCACUCAUCUCCCUGCAAAAGUCCAGUUCAUUGGCACCAAAGCCACAGAGACAAAAGCUGCUUGCUUGGUGAUCCAGUGGAAUUUUGAGGGUCUUCUGGAAGUAUAGAAUAUACACAAACAUGUCUAUAGGAAAUUAUGGUAUCUUUCUGCUUUUCUGGAUAACCAAGGUCAUACCUGAAUGAGCUAAAAUAAAGCCAGGAAAGAACUAGUAGGUUGAAUCUUCUAAGGAACAAAAAGAAGGUAUAAUCUACUAGGAUAUUAAAUUUUUUUUUUAAAUUUGCUGGUAUUGCUUCACAUCAUCUGAACUGUCCCUGUCACUGACUUGUGUGUGCCUCAUCCUCUCCCUGCAUCACUGCUCUUCUCUUGGCUGGUGUGAAUGUACCUCCUCAGGAGAAACCCUGGCUUGAACUUGACCUGCCCAGAUUCCAGAAGAAGGCAGAGGAAUCCCAGGAGAGGAGGAGAAAAGCAUUUCCUAAAUCAGACAAACAGCACAUCUGUACUGCAAACUCAGCUUAGGCUCAGAUUCCUUUCCAUAGCUAGAGAGUGACUUUCCCCCAAAGCUGCUGGUGCUUUAGAUCAUUUGAUCCGGUCACCCGGUCACAUUGUGGGCAUGCUCCAGGCUUUUGCUUUCCCUUGGGCUGAAAACCCACCCAUUUUGAAAGAAACCUAAACCAUAGGUGGGACCCUCCUGUGCCUGCUUGCCAUCCAUCCUCCCUUCUCCCUCCCCACCUGCCUCUUUCCUUCACAUCUCUUCAAGAAGAUUUUGGUGGAGAUCUUCCAUGCAAACACCUAGGUGGCACAUAUCCUUGGAAGCGUUGGUGACCUGCAGAGCUGGACAUCUACACAAGGAUUUCUGCUUCAUUAACCAAACUGCUCCUGGACCGUGUGUGUGCUCACUUCCUACACCGUGUGGAAUGAACAGCCUCACUCCACAGGGUCUCUGGAUAACCUGAAGGAUGUGACAGCUCUGCAGGGAAUGGAGCACAAGCCUUGGCAUUACCUUUCUGGAGACACUGGUGAUACGAGCUGUGAACAGCUGGUACAGAGCACCAACAUCCUGGGCACGUGGUUUGACACUACACCUUGAUGGGUAAAAGGUGGAAGUGUUGCCUGGCAUGAGAGGUAGGACAUUCAGCAGAGAAGGAGUUGCCUGAUGUGACCAAGGACAAGAUUGCACAGCAUCUGAUGUGACUCUGGGCACAGCUGUCUGUUCUCUCCAUACAGUCAGCACCACUUCUGUCUGUGUCCAUGAAGAGACAGACCCACAACUACACAGAAACUCAAGAAAACCCAACUCAUUUGGGAUUUUACAGGAUCUGAAGAAAAAUGGUGUGAGGAAAGAUGGAGAGUCAAAAAGCAGAGGCUGUCAGUAGAUCUGCUGUAAGGUAAACUGGACAGCUGCUGACACUGGCUGAACCUGUGCUGGAUCUUUGAGGGUUUUUUUGCCUCAAUGGGAAUUGUAUCUGCAACCUGUGAGCACAGCAGGUCUAGACAGGUACAGACCUUUCUCAGUGUGUUGAUUUUCCACUGAAGCCAAACUGUCCAGAUCACCCCCCACCCAAAUCCCAACAUAAUUCUUAUUUUCCUGAUAACCCAGGUAAAGUUUUGACUCCUACAAGGGAUUUUACUCCUACUGGGGGAUUUCAGUGCCUUGUCACAAGAUGCACAGCUCUGUAAAGUAUCCAUUCUGAAGUAGUUCUGCCAAAUACCAAAUGAAAAUUGCAUAACAUGAGAAGGAGAAAACCACAGCUGAAGCUUCCUCAUCCACAGUGGCAGCUGAGAGUGGACGUCACGAGUUCCUCCAUACCAAAUGGCAUCAUUUCCAUUUUCUUUGGACUGUAGUAGUGAAAGAAUAAACAUUUCAAAAGGUUCAAAUGAGACCGUUGAGUGCCAGCACUGAGUCCCUGUGAGGUUGGGAUAAACUGACAAAAUAACAUCCUGCAGAAGCUGUGCCUGGGACAAACCACCAUUCCUGUGUUCAUGUUCUGUGGUUUGUAGCACAGGGGCCACUUUAAACCUUGGUCUCUAUCCAGACACCAGUACCAGCUCUCCCAUGACUUUAUGUUUGCAUCUCUUUCUUCUUCAUGAAGGGAAAAUUUCCAGGUUUGUUCCUUUUAACUUUGUUCAUGGUAGCACUCUUGACAGAAGGACUUAGUGCCUAUUUAAUGUCUUUGCAAGGAAAAGAGAGAAACUUCUCGGUUACAUAAAAGUUUGUAUCAAAAUUCAAGAAUCCGGAUUAAUUAUAGAAGACUUGCCUUGUAUCAUUCAAUUUGUUUGAAUAGCUUUAAAGAUUAAGCAGAUCCAAGGCCUAACAGAACCAGAGCCAGUAAGACAAUAGCUGAGAUUUUCCUUUGAAACAAAAUAUACAGGUGGUUUCUGUGAGUUUCUGUGUCUAUCUGCCCGGCUUUUUUAUUUUUGUCGUAUCCAAUAUCACAGAACCUGGCAGUAGAAAUCAUAUAGCAAUUUGUGAAAGCUUGUUGCUGUUCUAGAUAUCAUAUAGUCUGUUCCACACCAGCAAAGACAAAACCAAUGCCUUUACUCUUCGAGUUUUCAUUCAAAAGGAUAAUGAUCUCUGGUAACAAAAUAUUUGGCAGUAGCAUUAUUUAAAAUGCACAGAGGAAAUGUUUGUCCCUAAGUCAAGGGACUGUGGUCACACAGUCUCUAUUCACUUGGUAUUUACCAGGGAAUGCCAAAGGCUAAUCUGCAAAAAAGCCCAGGAACAGAGUUAAGUUUAUCACACUCCAUCCUUCACCCAUCCCAUUGUAAGGGAAUUGAAAAAUAGUAAUUAUUGAGUUUCUCUGUGGCCAGAGAACUUAUAAACCGUGUUAUACCCAGCAGGCUCUAAUGACUCCUUCGGUAAGUAUCUAAUUAAGUGGUUGGGGUGUUGGGUUUUUUCCUUCUUUCACAGCAUACUUUUGUGUUUUAAAAUCCCUUUGCAUUAAACGACUUCUCGAGUUUUCCAAAUUUCUCACACGCACAGAAGAGGGAAGUAAGAAAAAAAGCGGAGGGGAGAUUUCGGUCGUGAGAACAGGAGGCAGAAACAAGGAUUCACAAAGGCCAAAGGCAAAUCGUCCCCAAAAUCUCCAUCUAAAACACUGAAAACCGCAGCAACGAUCUGCCUGGGACCGUUGGCUGUCUUGAGGGGGAAAUAAAGCCAGCCCGAGGGCAAUGGCUGCGUUUGGGGGGGACAAGGCUGCUCCCCAAAGCCCAAAGCAGUCACAACACCUUGAGGGCUUUGAAGGGUGCAAAUCUGGGGUUUGGGCAGUUUUACCGACCCCGCUUGGCAUCCCUCGCCCGCCGGUCCCCGGCACCGCGAAAUCCCGCUCCACCCCGGGGCAGCGGAACGCGCCGAGCGGUGCCGGGCGAACGCACGGUCGGGGCUGGGAGAAACUGUCCCGGGGUAGGAGGAGAGGAGCCGAGCAUCCGCCCCGCUCCCUCCUCGACUUCGGGAGGGAUGCUUGGCUUCGGCGGAGAGAUUCAUGACAGCACCCUUCAAAACCAUUUCGCUGGGAAGAGCUGGUGUGUCUCGAAUCAGCUGGGCACAGCUCACAAGUACCAUUCCGAAACUGAGUGAUUCUUCCUGUAAACAAAAGUUCAGGAGCUUGAUUCGGGAAGACAUGACAGCACUGGGGACGUUGCACUGCAAACUGUUCAGCUGUGUGAGCCUGUGUGUACUGAGGCGUUAAUGCAGAACUGUUGGGCAUUGGGCCCAGAACAGAUGUGAUGAUGAGUGAGAGCAAAGAGACGGGGAGGAAGGAGCAGAAGAAGAAAGAACAUUUUAGGCUUCUCAGUUCCUGCCUAGACAACCACUGCUUCCAAAACCUGGGCACCGUCCCCAUUUGCCUCUUAUCAGGAGAAAGUAGGAAGCAACAUGAUCUGUGGAGAAAAUGAA